rnacentral:lncRNA from 1 species
UUUCAUGGAUGCUCGGAUGCAGAGGAAGCUGAAGUCCAGGUCCUAUCUUUUGGCCUCAACCAGGAUCGUAAACUAAAUGUGAACAAAGUGCAGAUGGAGACCGAUUGCAUCGCUGUAGUGGCCGUUGUGAAUGAUUGUAAUGUUAGCAGGGGCAGCUUGUGAGCUUGCUAUGAUAACUCUAAGGAUAUUAAGGAGGUUGGAGCUUGUUCUGUUUUCAAAGUCCAUGGGGAGAGCAAUGUGGUCACGCAUGAGCUUGCUGCCCAUGCUAGAGUGAAUGGGGAUUUCUUUGUGUUAGUUGAUGUGCCACAAGCUUAGAAACAUGUAAUUGCUUUCGAUUGUAACCCAGGUUUAUUGAUAUAAAUGACGCUCUCCCUUUCCUCAAAAAAUAUAUUUCUUUUCUAUCCUACCUACUGUUUUCUAGAGCCCUCUAGUUGUGAGUAGCUAUGAGUAGAAUGGUGAAUCUUAAAUAAUGUUUUCUAGAGUGUUCCAGCUAUAAGUAGGAGUAUGUGAAGGCUUC